AUGUGGCACACGUCAAAACGCGCGGUUCAUGUGAUUGAAGUGUACACGUGCAAAAGUUUGACUGUAUUAUGCAAGAGCAUCCUGCACGCAGGCGAGAGCCUGAGCUCACACGUGGUUCACGCGUACAUAUGUGUGGGUGAAAUGUGUCAAAGAAGUUGUAAAACAUCUAGGUUCAGCAAGGGGAAAGUAGCAGGCUGGACGCAGACUGUGGAGCCAGCGGCAGGCGUCGAAAGACUACUGGUCCCUCGGCUAGGGCCCUCUGGGAGAAAGGGGCGCGGGGCACGCCCAGAGGCCGCCUGCCAACGCCAGAUCAGCUCCUGGCUCGAGAGGCCGAUUCCGCUGCAGGCCCCCUCACAAUGUGGCCUGAGAUCGGAAUGGUCCCUGCUGGACAGUUCCGAACUCUUAAUCUUUCCCGGAGGACGCUUUCUGAUUACUGACUCCAUGUGUCCUAAGAGAGGCCGCUUCCAGGAGACGAACAGAGGUUGAGAUCUGGCCAUGCCAUACGGCUGCAAGUCUGUGAAAGGGACACAAUGGUUAUUUCCCUCUAAUGGACAAGGAAACCGAGAUGCAGAGUGAUGAGAUCUUUAGGCAAUGCGCGGUGACAUCAGCAUUCAACCUUGGGGUGAAGUCGGCCUCCCCUGGGCCCUGCCACUCUUCGCACCACAGCGUUAACCUCUAAAAAGAGCCGUGGUUUUCACUUUGAGAUGCCCAUCUCUGGGAAUGAUGAAGUAACCAUAGGAUGCUGAGCGUCAGAGAGCCUGGUAGGGCCUAAGGCAGCAGUGCUCAUCAGUAAGGACUUCUGCCUCAGGUUGCUUAAGAAUCCAGACAAACUGGGCUGGGGAUUUAGCUCAGUGGUUCCAUCGCCUGCCUCACAAGCUCAAGGUCCCGUGUUUGACCCCGGUACCAAAGAGAAAAAAGAAUCCAGACAAACUGCCCCUGACCCUAUAGCUGCUGGAUGACCUACUUCAAUUCCCAGGGGAUGGAGACCCAGUGUGACCCCUUUGGAGCUGCGUUCUGGCCUUGUGGAUGAUUCUUCUGCAUUGCUUUUGUGCACAUUCUCAUGAAUUGACUGUAGCAUUAAAAAAGCACCUAGUGCUAAACAAAACAAUGAAUAGAUUUUAAAAAUGUGUGGGCCACAUCAGUAGGAAGUCGACACUUAAAACGUCCACAAGGACUUAGAACUUUAUAAUAGGUCAACGGCAGAGUACCUGAUAUAUUCAAACCAGAAGGUUCCGUAAUUCGAGUUAAAAUUUUUUUAGUUUUCAUAGCACUCUAGUUUUAAUAGUGUAAUUAUUUUCAAAUAUUUUAAUAGAAAUAGUCUUUCAUUUUGCAUAAAGGUACAUUUGAGAAACAUUGUUUUAAAAAUAUUUAAAAUAUGGUUUCUAGACCACGCACCUGAAACUCAUUUUUGUCCCAUUGGUUUCAUCUUAACUCUAACAUCAUGUCUGGUUCUAAUGGUGCCAAAGAGAAUUCCCACAAUAAGGCUCGGACAUCGCCUUACCCAGGCUCCAGAGUUGAAUGUAGCCAUGAGAAUGUAGCCUUUUCCUAAUGAGAAAGUGGGCUGGCUUGUUGCAUGGCAAGACUAUAACCCUGUGGAGUAUCCUGCCCUCUCUGUCUUGGCUGGACCCAGGUGGGCGGAUCCUCAAAUCAGUGAAAGUACCUUUUCUCCAAAGUUUAAUGAAAAGGAUGGGCAUGUAGAGAGAAAGAGCCAAGAAUGGCCUACAUGAAAUUGAAAAUGGAAGACCCAGAAAUCCUGCAGAAUGGACAGGACUGGUUGGCCGGGGGCUUUUGGGGACAUGGGGCCCACAUCAUGCUGCAGAUCCCAUUAUAACCAGGUGGAAAAGGGACAGCAGUGGAAAUAAAAUCACCCACCCUGUUUCUGGAAAACACAUCUUACAGUUUGUUGCAAUAAAAAGGAAAGACUGUGGAGAGUGGGCGAUCCCGGGGGGAUGGUGGAUCCAGGAGAGAAGAUUAGUGCCACACUGAAAAGAGAAUUUAGUGAGCAAGCUCUCGACUCCUUACAGAAAUCCAGGGCCGAAAAGAGAGAAUUGGAGGAGCAGGUACACAAACUCUUCAGCCAAGAGCACCUAGGGAUAUGUAAGGGAUAUGUUGAUGAUCCUCGAAACACUGACAAUGUGUGGAUGGAGACAGAAGCUGUGAAUUACCAGGGUGAGACAGGUGAGAUCAUGGACAAUCAGCCCCUGGAAGCCGGGGACGAUGCCGGGAAAGUGAAAUGGGUGGACAUCAGCGACAGGCUGAAGCUCUGUGCCAGCCACUCUCAGUCCUUCAUCUGCCUUGUGGCAGAGAAGCAAGACGGUCGCUGGAGCAAGGACACAGAAGCUGACUGCCGUGGCUCCUAGCCUGCAUCUCCAGGUCCUCAGAGGCCAGCAAGGAGCAAGUCCUGAGGAGAGAGAGAGUCACGGAGCCCGUGCUGGGGCAGGCCAGGUCACCCAGAAAUCAUUUUAUCCAUGUUCAGGAUGUUUAUAUUUAGGUUUGGCAUCUGAGUAAAAUGAGUAAAUGUGAUAAAAUUUUCAUCUUUCUGGUCAAAAGGAUUUGAUAGAGUGAUAUUUUGUAUAUGCCCUAUUUAAGUAUGCUGUAAGCUAAAUUUAAAUAACUGAUGCUCUUUGGAGAAUUGUUAACUAGAAUAAAAAUAAAUUCUUGAUUGGCUGUAAAAUAUAUAUAUAUAUGGUUUCUUCAUAAAUGUACAAAUAUUAUGUGUGAACCAAAACUAUUAAUAAUAAAUUUUAAAAUUAAAAAAAAAACUCAAUCUCUAAUGAGCCAGAGCGGUUGUUGAUUCUUUGUAUGUCUUUAAAGGCUUCUAUUCACAAGGCUGAUCGUUUGUUUAAAUAAAUGUAUCUCCAAUAAAUAUGUUAUCAUUUUUGAAAACUGCAUAUAAAACUUUGGCCUUUUUUUUUUUUUGGUGAAGCCACUUAUGGGUUGGCAUGCACUCUGCCCCUGAGCUACACUCCUAGAUCCAAGUUUAUCUACUUAUAUUAAGAUUUGUUGAUACUGUACAGCUUUGACACAACCAAAUUGUUGAA
rnacentral:lncRNA from 1 species